AACGAACGCUGGCGGCAUGCCUAACACAUGCAAGUCGAACGAAGCCUUCGGGCUUAGUGGCGCACGGGUGCGUAACACGUGGGAAUCUGCCCUUAGGUACGGAAUAACAGUUAGAAAUGACUGCUAAUACCGUAUGAUGACUCCGGUCCAAAGAUUUAUCGCCUAAGGAUGAGCCCGCGUCGGAUUAGCUAGUUGGUGAGGUAAAGGCUCACCAAGGCGACGAUCCGUAGCUGGUCUGAGAGGAUGAUCAGCCACACUGGGACUGAGACACGGCCCAGACUCCUACGGGAGGCAGCAGUGGGGAAUAUUGGACAAUGGGCGAAAGCCUGAUCCAGCAAUGCCGCGUGAGUGAAGAAGGCCUUAGGGUUGUAAAGCUCUUUUACCCGGGAUGAUAAUGACAGUACCGGGAGAAUAAGCUCCGGCUAACUCCGUGCCAGCAGCCGCGGUAAUGUC
rnacentral:rRNA from 1 species